rnacentral:rRNA from 1 species
AUACGAAGGGUGCAAGCGUUACUCGGAAUUACUGGGCGUAAAGCGUGCGUAGGUGGUUGUUUAAGUCUGUCGUGAAAGCCCUGGGCUCAACCUGGGAAUGACGAUGGAAACUGGGCGACUAGAGUGUGGCAGAGGGUAGUGGAAUUCCUGGUGUAGCAGCGAAAUGCGUAGAGAUCAGGAGGAACAUCCGUGGCGAAGGCGACUGCCUGGGCCAACACUGACACUGAGGCACGAAAGCGUGGGGAGCAAACAGGAUUAGAUACCCUGGUAGUCCACGCCCUAAACGAUGCGAACUGGAUGUUGGGUGCAAUUUGGCACGCAGUAUCGAAGCUAACGCGUUAAGUUCGCCGCCUGGGGAGUACGGUCGCAAGACUGAAACUCAAAUGAAUUGACGGGG